rnacentral:lncRNA from 1 species
UUUUUUUUUUUUUGGUUCUGGGGAUCAAACUCGGGACCUUGUGCUUGCAAGGCAGGCAGCAGAAACACUGAGCUAAAUCCCCAGCCCUACACUUAACUUUUUAGAUGGUUCCAAGCCAUGACAAGAUAAUGUGGCUUGCUUUAAAAAAUAUCAGUGGUUUAUAUAUGGUGCGUGUCUGUGUGCAUGCAUAUGUGUGUGUGUGUGUGUGUGUGUGUGUGUACAAGAAGUCACCAAGGAGCUUGUUGUACAUGUAGGUCUCAGAAUCACAAAUGAUCUCAAGGAACCUGGGAAUCUGCAUUUUUAGUAAGUAGCCAGGUGGGUAGUAUGUAAAUUUUCCACAGGCUUCAUUUUAAGAAGCCUUGGGUUAGGGAAUGAGUAGGGAUCAAGGAUGCCCAGGUGAGAUGGGGCCCUGAGGCGGCAGGGAAGGGUGGAUUUGUGUGUGUGUGUGUGUGUGUGUGUGUGUGUGUGUGUGCGUAUGUGGUACCAGGGAUUGAACUCCGGACCUUGUGCUUUUGAGGCAGGCGCCAGAACCACAGAGCUAAAUCCCCAGCUCAGGGAAAGGUAGAUUUUAUGGGAGUGUGGGCCCAAGUGUGAUGUGGACACACAGUAAGUGGGCAGUGUGGUGAUAGGUAGAUGAACUGAAAGAGAUCAGAACUCAUAACUCAAGAAAGGAGGAGCUGGCACAAACAACGAGGAUGCAGCAAGAUCCGAAGGAUUCAGUCAAGGCUCGAAGCCCUGGAGCUCACUGUAGAGUCCCUCUCGAGUCUGCGUAAGGAGGCUGAAGGUUCUGCAAUGGAAGCUGAAGAAUCCUCACUGGAAGCCAGGAGAUGAUGUCCACAGCGAAGGUGAAGACUGGAGCUCCUCCAAAAAAAACAGAGCUCAUCCUACUGACUUCUGCACUUGAUUGUAGCCAAGAGGCUGAGAAGCGGUCCUGCUGACUUCCAAAUGGGAAUAUUUGUGGUACAUUUCAGUUCCUUCCUCUCUCAUCUACCUCUUCCAGCUUCAGCAAAUGGUCAAUUAUGCUUCUAAAAUGUUCCUUUUGGAGCUUAUACUCCCAG